AUAUUGAGAAGGGCUGUCCCUAGUACGAGAGGACCGGGACGGACGAACCUCUGGUGUGCCAGUUGUCCUGCCAAGGGCAUGGCUGGUUGGCUACGUUCGGAAAGGAUAACCGCUGAAAGCAUCUAAGCGGGAAGCCUGCUUCGAGAUGAGUAUUCCCACCCUCUUGAGGGGUUAAGGCUCCCAGUAGACGACUGGGUUGAUAGGCCAGAUGUGGAAGCCCGGUAACGGGUGGAGCUGACUGGUACUAAUAGGCCGAGGGCUUGUCCUCAGUUG
rnacentral:rRNA from 1 species